AUAGACCAGCCGGUGCUGAUGGGGUCCGGGACUUGACGAUGGCGCCUGCUCGUUCCUGUUGUGUUCUAUCUGAGGCAUGAUUUUCUUUCGUUUUUGGGAGGUAGAGAGCACGGGGCAGAGGUUGCACCUGACACAUUAGAACUCCGUUGUCACUGCUGUGGCUGUUAUUCCCCUCGGCAAGAGCCAAGGAGCAAACAGGACGUGAAGAUCCCGGUGUUACACAUCCAAUCGUUCACCUCCUUCCAAGACUAUGACAUUCCAGGAAACCUUCACUGCUAAGAGGAACUAAGAUCUAGAGUAUCUCCUCGAGGAAGUACAACUGGUGGGGAGCAGUAUGUGUCCAGAGCUCUAGAGGGACCGAAAGGCCAAGUGUCCACGGUGGCAAGAGAAUCCAGGAGACUGGACCAUCAAGUCUUUUACUCAGAGACUGGAGACCACGCCUUACCUCUCGGAACAGCCCUGUGUGAACCUCCGACUUUAUGAUACGUUGUGAUUGUGAUACAGGACUUCCCAUGCAGCGCGUAAGCCAUGCAGGCUUAUUACUCACACCACACUCACCUGGACCCAGAGACCUCCAGGCACUGAGGACUGCGUCUCCCGGAAGUAUUUCCCUGAGAAAUUGCAGAGGACCUCAGUCCUGCAACUCACACAGAGGCUGUUCUUCGUGGCCGGAACCGGACCCCACGCCCUCUGGGGCACAUCCCUGAGUGCGAGCACUCUUCUCUCGCCCUCCUCCCACCCAGGCACCGUCCCAACUGGGCACUGCCUUGCUAUGCCCCACAUCUCCCACAAGGGGGAGCCGCCGGAGGGCAGCUGGGGCUGCGGAAUUUUGGAAGCGCAGAAGUUUUCUCCUCCUGUCCUGUAACUGGUUUUCACUCACUCAACUGAGAGAUUUCUUUGUUGCAAUGAUGGGGUCUAAGAUAACACUUCUGGAGGCUGCAGGCGAGAAACACAGCUGAUAUCAUCUUUUAUUGUGUGUUGUUAUUUGCCUAGCAUUAUAAAUUAAGGAGGAAUAGUAACAAAGAGCUUGAAGACAUGCACAGCUCACAGGCCCCGGGUGGAGGCUGGCGACAUCAGACAGACAGAACCAAGACAUCUGAGGGGCAACCAGGAGGUGCGUGUGGCUGCAGAGCACACAGACUUGUCUUUGGACAAAAUUGAGAAGAACUCAUAAACUUGGCUUCCUCGCUUCUGCUCCUCAGACCCCUGCAAACAUGACUUACCUUGGAAACUAUAAGAAAGGAUGGCCUUAUGUGAGGACACUCAUCAUCCUGGCGUUAAUGUGCUUCUCUUCUAUUUGGCAUUUGAGUCCAACACUACCUGAUCUCAGUCCUUCUUUUUAGAAUCAAUAUUUCCAUAGCAAGUGUAGCAUCAUCUUAAAUGGGGAAUCCCACUUUUUUUUUUUAAAGCUAGAGAUGGCAGUUUGGUGGGAUUGGCCAAAAAUAAUUUGAAGAAAGAAUGCACUAAGGGUGAAAAUGUUAUGUUUAUAAAAAUAUUAUGAAAGCUAAAUGUGAUGCACUUGAAAAAUGUGGCAGGAUAUUUCACUGUAUAUUCAUGAAAUCUGUAUCUAAACUAUAUCAAUAAAUACUAUUCAAGAGAAUAUAAAAAUUUCUUCCAUGUAUGCAUUUCUGUUCAUCUAGCUCAUUGCUUAACCACAGAAGGUUAUAAUAAUAAUAAUAAAAACAAACAAAAUAAAUGUUUGUUAGAUGGAUAUUUAUAU
ensembl:lncRNA MIR100HG mir-100-let-7a-2-mir-125b-1 cluster host gene